AGAGAAUCGCCUGAACCUGGGAGGUGGAGGUUGCAGUGAGCCGAGAUCGCGUCACUGCAUUCCAGCCUGGGUGACAGAU
rnacentral:snRNA from 1 species